rnacentral:rRNA from 1 species
AUACGUAGGUGGCAACCGUUGUCCGGAAUUACUGGGUGUAAAGGGAGCGCAGGCGGGCGUGCAAGUCAGCUGUGAAAUCCAUGGGCUUAACCCGUGGGGGGCAUUUGAAACUGUAUGUCUUGCGGGAUGUAGUGGAAGGCGGAAUUCCGAGUGAUGCGGAGAAAUGCGUAGAUAUUCGGAGGAACACCAGUGGCGAAGGCGGCUUACUGGACUGUAACUGACGUUGAGGCUCGAAAGCGUGGGGAGCAAACAGGAUUAGAUACCCUGGUAGUCCACGCUGUAAACGAUGAUUACUAGGUGUUGGGGACCAAAGGUCCUCGGUGCCGCAGCAAACGCAUUAAGUAAUCCACCUGGGGAGUACGUUCGCAAGAAUGAAACUCAAAUGAAUUGACGGGG